rnacentral:rRNA from 1 species
CUAGCAUUUUCUUAUCUUAGUUCUCAGAGGGCACCGAGGAAUCUCGGAUGCUUCGAUGAUGAUGAGGAAAAGGUUGCAUAUCGGGAGUAUAUAUUGAAACAAACUUAUGAGGGGUCCGAGACAAAUUGCUAUGAUAAGCUACGCUUAACUAAAAGAAACUUCCAUGAUCUUUGUGCUAUGUUGCGUGAGAAGUGUGGUCUCAAAGAUAGCCCGUUUGUGACUGUAGAAGAAAAAGUUGCUAUGUUCUUACAAGUUGUUGGACAUGGACUUAAGAUGAGGAUGUUGGGUGGCACGUACCAGCGUUCUUUAGAGACCAUCAGUAGGCAUUUCUCUACUGUGUUGUCAGCCAUCCUAUCUCUAACUCGGGAGUUUAUCAAGCUUCCUGAUCCUUCUAUCACCCCUCUCGAUGAUUACAAGUGGAUGUGGUUUCCUAAUGCACUUGGAGCACUAGAUGGGUGUCAUAUUCCUGUGUUUGUUAAUGCUGCUGACAAAGGGAGGUAUAGGAAUAGGCACCAAGAUAUCACCACUUACAUGCUAAGUGUGGUUGAUUGGAACAUGAAAUUUCUCUAUGUUCUACCUUGUUUGGAGGGUUCGGCAUCGGACUCGGGAGUGCUAAAAGAUGCUAUGAGAAUUGAUCUUGAAGAUGCAUUUGUUGUACCAUAG